rnacentral:rRNA from 1 species
GAUGAACGCUGGCGGCGUGCCUAAUACAUGCAAGUCGAGCGAACGGACGAGAAGCUUGCUUCUCUGAUGUUAACGGCGGACGGGUGAGUAACACGUGGAUAACCUACCUAUAAGACUGGGAUAACUUCGGGAAACCGGAGCUAAUACCGGAUAAUAUUUUGAACCGCAUGGUUCAAAAGUGAAAGACGGCCUUGCUGUCACUUAUAGAUGGAUCCGCGCUGCAUUAGCUAGUUGGUAAGGUAACGGCUUACCAAGGCAACGAUGCAUAGCCGACCUGAGAGGGUGAUCGGCCACACUGGCACUGAGACACGGUCCAGACUCCUACGGGAGGCAGCAGUAGGGAAUCUUCCGCAAUGGGCGAAAGCCUGACGGAGCAACGCCGCGUGAGUGAUGAAGGUCUUCGGAUCGUAAAACUCUGUUAUUAGGGAAGAACAUAUGUGUAAGUAACUGUGCACAUCUUGACGGUACCUAAUCAGAAAGCCACGGCUAACUACGUG